rnacentral:lncRNA from 1 species
GCUUGGUGGCCCAGGCUGGAGUGCAGUGGUGCAAAUCUCGGCUCACUGCAACCUCUGCCUUCUGGGUUCAAGAGAUUCUCUUGCCUCAGCCUCCCAAGUAGCUGGGAUUACAGGCAUGUGCCAUCAUGCCUGACUAAUUUUUGUAUUUAGUACAGAUGGGGUUUCAUCAUGUUGGCCAGGCUGGUCUUGAACUCCUGACCUCAGGCGAUCCACCUGCCUUGGCCUCCCAAAGUGCUGGGAUUACAGAUGUGAGCCACUGUGCUUGGCCUCUGGUUGCUUUUGAAGUGUUUUCUUUGUCUCCAUUUUCAACUGCAAUGUUUCAAGUUGUAUUU